AUGUCCUACUGCCUUGUCAUUAUCCAAAAUGCUGCUACUUCUAUGCUUUUGUUGCUGCCAAAAAACCUGCUAUUACAGCCCUGCUCAAGUCUGUCCAUAAAGCUUGCAAUGCUACCCCUACAUCCUUUGCAACCUCUACAAAAUGGCCUUGUAAACCAGUCCAUAACAAUAGUCCAAAAACAUGUUAUUUCCCUAUACAUAAACAUCAAAAUAGCAACACAAAAAUGGCAUCAUAAAAGUAAUAAAACAGUUUCCAAAUAUCACACUUUUUUUCCCUCCCAAACCUCAGUUUAUUCCAGCUAUAAAAGUAGUUCUAAGGAGAGGAGAUCACAGGGUAGAAACACACAAAGAGGACACAAAAAAAAAACUAACAGUAGCUAA